GCCUCCAUAGCUCAACUGGUAGAGCAGCUGAUCUGUAAUCAGCAGGUUGCGGGUUCAAGUCCUGCUGGCGGCUCCA
rnacentral:tRNA from 1 species